rnacentral:rRNA from 1 species
UGCAUAUAUAUUAACAUAAUUCAUAUAAUUAUUAUUGAAAAAAAAUUACUUAUAAAUCCAAUUUAAUAAACCUUUUUCAAGUUUAAACCAAAAAUAAAAUUAUUGUAAUACAUUUUAACUUAAUUAUAAUCUGCAUCUUGACCUGACUUAUUUUAUUUUAUAAAACAAAAAAAUUAUUUUAAAAUAUUUUUUUAAGACGGAGAUAUACAAAAUAAAUAAAACUAAGCAAGAUAAUUGUGAAUUAUCAAUUAAAAAACAUAUUCCUCUAAUUAGAAUAUACACCGCCAAAUUCUUUAAGUUUCCUGCCCAAAUUAUCUACUACUCAAAAUUACUAUUUACAUUAACUA